ACGCUGGCGGCAGGCCUAACACAUGCAAGUCGAGCGGUAGAGAGAAGCUUGCUUCUCUUGAGAGCGGCGGACGGGUGAGUAAUGCCUAGGAAUCUGCCUGGUAGUGGGGGAUAACGUCCGGAAACGGACGCUAAUACCGCAUGCGUCCUACGGGAGAAAGCAGGGGACCUUCGGGCCUUGCGCUAUCAGAUGAGCCUAGGUCGGAUUAGCUAGUUGGUGGGGUAAUGGCUCACCAAGGCGACGAUCCGUAACUGGUCUGAGAGGAUGAUCAGUCACACUGGAACUGAGACACGGUCCAGACUCCUACGGGAGGCAGCAGUGGGGAAUAUUGGACAAUGGGCGAAAGCCUGAUCCAGCCAUGCCGCGUGUGUGAAGAAGGUCUUCGGAUUGUAAAGCACUUUAAGUUGGGAGGAAGGGCAGUAAAUUAAUACUUUGCUGUUUUGACGUUACCGACAGAAUAAGCACCGGCUAACUCUGUGCCAGCAGCCGCGGUAAUACAGAGGGUGCAAGCGUUAAUCGGAAUUACUGGGCGUAAAGCGCGCGUAGGUGGUUCGUUAAGUUGGAUGUGAAAUCCCCGGGCUCAACCUGGGAACUGCAUUCAAAACUGACGAGCUAGAGUAUGGUAGAGGGUGGUGGAAUUUCCUGUGUAGCGGUGAAAUGCGUAGAUAUAGGAAGGAACACCAGUGGCGAAGGCGACCACCUGGACUGAUACUGACACUGAGGUGCGAAAGCGUGGGGAGCAAACAG
rnacentral:rRNA from 1 species